UACAUUACUGGCAAUUUUUGCACAAAGGGC
rnacentral:sRNA from 1 species